ACACGUCUACAUUAGAUACCCCCGUAGUCCCAGCCGUAAACUAUGCGCGUUAGGUGUAUCGGUGACCACGAGUCACCGAGGUGCCGAAGGGAAACCGUGAAACGUGCCGCCUGGGAAGUACGGUCGCAAGGCUGAAACUUAAAGGAAUUGGCGGGGAGCACCACAACAGGUGGAGCCUGCGGUUUAAUUGGACUCAACGCCGGGAAGCUCACCGGAUAAGACAGCGGAAUGAUUGCCGGGCUGAAGACUCUGCAUGACUAGCUG
rnacentral:rRNA from 1 species